UAUAGAUAUUUAAAAGUUUUCUGUUGUUUUUGAGCUAAAAAAUCUUAAUAUUUCCCUCGAACAUUACUUGUUUUACAACGGGGAGCGAGGGUGCGGGUUUGCUUCGCUUGUGGAUCAGCAUUUCACUACAAAGAAAGACUAAUUCUUUCAGGUAAGAUUCACGAAACUUUUUUAUAACUUUCUAGACGGCUAGAGUCACUAGACCCUUCAUAUUAUGUCAAAAACUCAUCCUAAUAUAUACAGCAAAUAUUUCAAUAGGGGACAUAAAAGUAUUGUUAACGAUUAAACAUUGUGUACAUGAAAUUAUGUUGUUUUGUGUCAGCAGACAGCACUGGCCUUGGUGGUUUUAUUGCCAGUUUUUAAUUUAUACUAAAAAUUGUGGUUGUUUACAUCACAAUUACAUGUUCAUAUAUUUUAAAACGUUUAUUAAAUAUGGUGUGAAAUUUAUAUACUUGCCCAUCACAGUGCAGAAUUAGUAUAUAUAGAUAAGCACAAGACCAGAGAGAGUUGAGCCGUAGAGGAGGCCCACCUACAUGUGACAAUGCAUGUGCCCUGUCCUGAUGAACCCUAAAGACUGCCUUUAUUAUUUUAUUCUGUCUGUCUGAUGCUAGAUGAUUUUAAGGGGAUUGAGACUGCUCCCUGCUGCCACACAGUGGGUUAAUUACCCUAUCUGCAAAUGAGCAGCCCCUGAGAUAUAUAGUCAGCCCAUUAAGCUGCAAUUAUGAACCCUGGCGGCUACUUUCUUAUUUUACUCAAUCUGUGAGAUUAAAUCCAGAUGUUUUACUCAUCAAGGGAAGAGUCUUUAAAAUACAGGGUGUCUCAAAAAAACCCAAAAUCAUUGAAAUUGACGUAUUGUUCGAUAUUCAAUGCCCUAGCACUAAGUUAAUCCCACGAGUGCAUAAAAGAUUGACAUAACUGCUAUAAUGAAUGGUAAUACUCAGCGUAAACUUGUUAUGUCAGGCAUAAAGUACUAAACCCACGAAUGCAUAUUACGCAUAUUACAAUUUACGAAACAUUUUUAAAUUCCCAUGAGCAAACAAACGUUCACUUUACAAAGAUAUUUUAAUUUUUUAAAACAAAUUAAUCACCCUGUCAAAAUCCUUUGUGUUACGGCAUUGAAAUUCGAACAAUACGUUAUUUCAAUGAUUUUGGGUUUUUUUGAGACACCCUGUAGAUAUCAUUUUGCCAUUGUCUGUUCAGAACUAUAUAAAACUAUAUAGUUUUACACAGCUUAUGGGCAACAAAAAUGUUGUCCACAAGCCGCCAGGAUUUAAGUGAGUCACUGAUACACUAAUGAGGUGCAACAUUUCUAACAAGGGUGGAUUUUCAUUUAUUUAAAAGGAGGGGUAGAAAAAUUUCUGGUGGGGUGCAAGCGGCACCACUCAGUUAGCUUUGGCAGGGGUUAGGCAUUUGGGUUAAAGCCUUUCACACAAAAUGGGAGGGGUGAAGCAGAAUUUUGGUGGGGUUGAUCACUUUUUUAGAGGGGUUUAACCCCCCCCCCCCAAGUAAAUCCACCCAUGAUUUCUAACAUUGGGAGUAGUGAUGUCCGAUUGGCCAUGACACAGCCUGUGAGAAAUUAUGAUGAAAUUUGCUCAUAAUAGUUAAGUUUGACAUAUUUUAGGAGUUAGUUAGGAAUGUAAUAAUUGCAUUGCUGAAUAUUGAAACAUGACAUUUAAUUUUGAAGCUCGGAUCAAUGGUCUUGGUAAAAACAGAUCAUGUGAUUGCAGUAUUACACUCUCCCCUUGACUUAGUCUAGUAAAAUUGUCUGGCAUUAGGACUAGAUUGAAAUAAUAUAGUAAGGCAUAUCAAGACACAUUGCUACUUGUGAAGGGUUAACAUAUGUGUAUAUGAUAUUUUUCAUGUGAUGUAAAGAUGUAUAAUGUAUUAUGAUAAUAAUGUCAUCUUUUAUUUUGCAGAAAUUAUAUGUUUAAUAUGCACAAAAGAUGGCACUGAGGCAUCAACAUGCAGAAAAACAUGCAGAACAACAAAAUUAAUUAGUUAAUUAUAAUACCAUGCAUAACAA
rnacentral:lncRNA from 1 species